GAUGAAGAACGUAGCGAAAUGCGAUAAGUAAUGUGAAUUGCAGAAUUCAGUGAAUCAUCGAGUCUUUGAACGCACAUUGCGCCCCCUGGUAUUCCGGGGGGCAUGCCUGUCCGAGCGUCAUUGCUGCCCUCAAGCACGGCUUGUGUGUUGGGCCGCCGUCCCCGGUUUCCCCCGGGGACGGGCCCGAAAGGCAGCGGCGGCACCGCGUCCGAUCCUCGAGCGUAUGGGGCUUUGUCACCCGCUCUGUAGGCCCGGCCGGCGCCAGCCGACACCCAACUUUAUUUCUAAGGUUGACCUCGGAUCAGGUAGGGAUACCCGCUGAACUUAAGCAUAUCAAUAAGCGGAGGA
rnacentral:misc_RNA from 1 species